rnacentral:sRNA from 1 species
AGCAGUCAGUGUGUCUGGCGGGUGUCGGCGUGAAGCGGGGCUGGGCCAGCGGGAGGUAGCUCUGUGGGAGUGGAAGGCCUGUAUUUCUCUACCUGGAUCGCACGCUCCUCGCGCAAGGAGGGUAGAGCUCAAGAUACUUGGGAUUUGCUUUACAUUCUAAUUGGAUUUGAGGAAGAGACAAUAAAGAAUAAACAGUCAAUUCUAUAAUAUAUUUAGAAGGAGAAAAGUGCCAAGGAGGAAUGAAAAAGUAGAGCAAGAGACAGCGUCUUGCUGCCACUCAGGCUGGAGUGCAGUGGUGCAGUCUUAGCUCACUGCAGCCUCAAACUUCUGGGCUCAAGUAAUCCUUCCACCACAGCUUCCUGAGUAGCUGAGAUUAUAGAUUUGCUUUGAGGUCACAUUGAUAUGAAAUAUGGAGUCACCUUUCAUAACUUCACCUGGGAAAGAGAGAGAAAAUUUUCUUGUUAAAAAAACAUAAGGAAAACAAACAACCAAAGGAAUCAUGC